rnacentral:rRNA from 1 species
AAACCAACAGGGAUUGCCCUAGUAACGGCGAGUGAAGCGGCAAAAGCCCAAAUUUGAAAUCCUCUUUUGAGGAGUUGUAAUUUGGAGAUGGAGUGCUGGACUCAGCUCUGUGGAAGUUGGCUGGAAAGCCGCGCCUUGGAGGGUGAUAGCCCCGUGCCACGGAGGUCCUGUGUCUGUGUAGUACUCUUUCUACGAGUCGCGUUGUUUGGGAAUGCAGCGCUAAGUGGGUGGUAAAUUCCAUCUAAGGCUAAAUAUUGGCGAGAGACCGAUAGCGAACAAGUACUGUAAAGGAAAGAUGAAAAGCACUUUGAAAAGAGAGUGAAAUAGCACGUGAAAUCGUUGAAGUGGAAGGGCUUAAAGCUACACACCUUCUUCGGAAGGGGCUAACAUCAGUUUUGCCGGAUGGAUAAAUGGUAAAGAAAGUGGCAUUUUCGGAUGUGUUAUAGCUUUAUCAAAUACAUCCCGGCGGGAUUGAGGACCGCGCUUUAUGCAAGGAUGUUGGCGUAAUGGUUUUAAGCCACCCGUCUUGAAACACGGACCAAGGAGUCUAUUGCUCAUGCGAGUGUUUGGGUGUUAAACUCGCAACGCGAAAUGAAAGUGAACGUAGAUUGGACCCGUUUGGUGCACAAUCGACCGAUCCUGAUGUUCUCGGAUGGAUUUGAGUAAGAGCAUGAGUGAUGGGACCCGAUAGAUGGUGAACUAUACCUGGUCAGGGUGAAGCCAGAGGAAACUCUGGUGGAAGCUCGCCGCAGUCCUGACGUGCAAAUCGGUUGUCAAAGCUGGGUAUAGGGGCGAAAGACUAAUCGAACCAUCUAGUAGCUGGUUCCUGCCGAAGUUUCCCUCAGGAUAGCUGUAGCUCGUAUCAGUUUUAUGAGGUAAAGAAAUGAUUAGAGGUAUUGGGAUUGAAACGAUCUUGACCUAUUCUCAAACUUUGAAUAUGUAAAAAGCCCCCCUUGCUUAAUUGAAGGCGGGCCCUUGAAUGAAGAGCUAUAAGUGGGCCAUUUUUGGUAAGCAGAACUGGCGAUGCGGGAUGAACCGAACGCGGAGUUAAGGUGCCGGAGUGUACGCUCAUCAGACACCAGAAAAGGUGUUAGUCCAUCUAGACAGCCGGACGGUGGCCAUGGAAGUCGGAAUCCGCUAAGGAGUGUGUAACAACUCACCGGCCGAAUGAACUAGCCCUGAAAAUGGAUGGCGCUCAAGCGUACCACCUACACUCCGCCACUAGUCUUAUUAUAUGGGCUAGUGAGUAGGCAGGCGUGGAGGUUGUAUCGAAGCGUUGGGCGUGAGCCUGCGUGGAACGGCCUCUAGUGCAGAUCUUGGUGGCAGUAGCAAAGAUUCAAAUGAGAACUUUGAAGACUGAAGUGGAGAAAGGUUCCGCUGGAACAGCAGUUGGCAGCGGGUUAGUCGAUCCUAAGCGACAAGGUAGCUCUGUCUAAUCUCCCGAUUUUUCGGGAGCAUCGCGAAAGGGAAGCCGGUUAACAUUCCGGCACUUGGAUAUGGAGUUUUCCACGGCAACGUAAAUGAGUGUGGAGACGUCGGCGCGAGCCCUGGGAGGAGUUUUCUUUUCUUUUUAACGGUAAGCCGACCCUGGAAUUGGUUUAGCCAGCGGUAGGGUUUGUUUACCGGAAGAGCCCGACAUCUUUCGUCGGGUCCGGUGCGCUUGUGACGGUCCUUGAAAAGCCGCAUGAAGUUUUUGCUUUCAUACCAAGUCGUACUCAUAACCGCAGCAGGUCUCCAAGGUUAACAGCCUCUAGUUGAGUAGGAGAACGUGGAUAAGGGAAUUCGGCAAACUAGAUCCGUAACUUCGGGAUAAGGAUUGGCUCAAAGGGCUGAGCAGGUCGGGUCCUUGCGAGACACGGGGUGGAGGCGGACUGGACUGCGCUGGGUUCGCGCCUAGUGUGGACCGGACUGCCACCGCCCUGCCGAUCGCUUGGAUAGCCAUUCGGCGUCCGUCUGUUAUGAACAGCUAACUUUGAACUGGUACGGACAAGGAAAAUCUGACUGUCUAAUUAAAACAUAGCAUUGCGAUGGUCCGAAAGUGAUGUUGACGCAAUGUGAUUUCUGCCCAGUGCUCUGAAUGUCAAAGUGAAGAGAUUCAACCAAGCGCGGGUAAACGGCGGGAGUAACUAUGACUCUCUUAAGGUAGCCAAAUGCCUCGUCUAUUAAUUGUAGACGCGCAUGAAUGGAAGAACGUGAUUUUCGCUGUCCCUAUCCACAACCUAGCGAACCCACAGCCAAGGGAACGGGCUUGGCAGCGUCAGCGGGGAAAGAAGACCCUUUUGAGCUUGACUCUAGUUUGGCUUUGUGAAGAGACAUAUGAGGUGUAGGAUAGGUGGGAGCUCCGGCGCCAGUGAAAUACCACCACUCGUAUUGUUUCUUUACUUACUCAGUUAGGUAGCGAGCGACUCUGUCGUAGUUCUAGUUUUAAGCUUUCGAGCGAGCUAGGCUGAGGACAGUGCCUUAUGGGGAGUUUGGCUGGGGCGGCACAUCUGUUAAAAGAUAACGCAGAUGUCCUAAGGGGGGCUCACGGAGAACAGAAAUCUCCGGUGGAGUAAAAGGGCAAAAGCCCCCUUGAUUUUGAUUUUCAGUGUGAAUACAAACCAUGAAAGUGUGGCCUAUCGAUCCUUUAUGCCCUCAGAAUUUGAGGCUAGAGGUGCCAGAAAAGUUACCACAGGGAUAACUGGCUUGUGGCAGUCAAGCGUUCAUAGCGACAUUGCUUUUUGAUUCUUCGAUGUCGGCUCUUCCUAUCAUACCGAAGCAGAAUUCGGUAAGCGUUGGAUUGUUCACCCACUAAUAGGGAACGUGAGCUGGGUUUAGACCGUCGUGAGACAGGUUAGUUUUACCCUACUGACAUACACGUCGCCACAGUAAUCACAUUUAGUACGAGAGGAACAGUGUGAUCAGGUAAUUGGUUUAUGGGGCUGUCCGGGUGGGCAGUGCCCCGAAGCUACACCUGCUGGAUUAUAGCUGAACGCCUCUAAGUUAGAAUCCAUGCUGGGAGCGACGUUUUUCCUCGUGCUGUUAGGUACGAAUAAGCUUUUUGCGCAGACCGGCCCCAGGGAACGAGGUUCUUUGGGCUCCAAGAUCAUACAGAUGUGCGGGGGGAAAUCGCAAGCGGACGACUUGAGUGUGCGACCGGGGAUUGUAAGUGGCAGAG